rnacentral:lncRNA from 1 species
CUUCGUGGCGGAGCGCGGACUACCCAGAGCGCCUUCUAUAACGUGGGUCAGGCGCCAAGCUCCCUCAGCUUCGCGCAGGAAUCUGCAGCCUGGCAGAAUUAGGACCGCUCUUUCGCGACUGGCGAGCCUGUCCCAGGCCCGCAGCCCAGAAUGGAGUCGCGGCCCAAAACUCUCGCUAGAG